rnacentral:rRNA from 1 species
UACGUAGGCAGCGAGCGUUGUUCGGAGUUACUGGGCGUAAAGAGUGCGUAGGUGGUUUUCUAAGUUUGGUGUGAAAUCUCCCGGCUUAACUGGGAGGGUGCGCCGAAAACUGGGAGACUUGAGUGUGGGAGAGGAAAGCGGAAUUCCUGGCGUAGCGGUGAAAUGCGUAGAUAUCAGGAGGAACACCUGCGGUGUAGACGGCUUUCUGGACCACUACUGACACUGAGGCACGAAAGCGUGGGUAGCAAACAGG